rnacentral:lncRNA from 1 species
AUGUCUUCCUGUCUUUUGUUCCACCAUGGUGGAGAACAAACUUGUAAUUCAUUCAAGAGGUCCAUUUCUUAUUUCUGGGCAAUUGACUGCAGUGUAACCCUAACAAGUCUGUACUUAAAUAUGAGAAUCCUCUCCUUAUUGAUAUCUGAAUUCUCAGGUGAUGUAAGUGAUGUGCACACUAAGCACCCUGGAGGAAGGCUUUUGAAGAACGUGAGGCUGCAUCUGACCAGCAACAGAAAAUCCAAUUGUUCUGGAAGGCAAAGGGAACACAAGGGUGUAGGAAGAAGUUGUGAUACAGCUCAGACAGAUACAAACAAGACUGUGGAGUUAGAUAUAUGUAACACCUCAUUUGCAGAGAAAUAUCCCCUACAAGACAGAAAGAUGCUGCCUCUAAUCACACGGCCCAAGUGUGAUGUUGUGAGACUGAAAUGGACAACCAGACCGUAUGAUCAGCCUUCUUUUAUGAGAACACUAUGUCAGUCAGUCAGUUUAUGA